CAGCAUUACUGUCCUUCUCUGUAUUUCUUGGCUUGGCAGCUUCAUUGCUGGGCUCUGGGCUGGGCCUGUCUGUCUCUUCCACAGGCUCUUUUGGUGCCACUUUUUUGUCUUCAGCUGUUUUGCUAUUUAAAUGAACAGCUGAGGAGGAAUUUUUGGAGUCCUUGGCUUUUUUGUGCAUAGAAGUUUGACUGUUAUGACUGGAGGCGAGAGGGGAAGACAUUUUCUGGGCUUUGCUUCCCUCCGACUGUUCUUUUCGAGGCGGUCCCCAGAUAAAGUUCUCUGAAGGCGUGUAGUGUUUCUGGGCGAACCGCAGGAGCUUUCUCCUUUCUCUUCUGUCUCUAAUUGUAUAAACAAAAUACUCUAGAGCACUCUGCUUAAUAUUGGGAAUAGUAUUCUCCACAAGAGCUUCAUGAAGAAUAAAUUUUACAAGAGGAGAUUUAAAACUUUCAUAUCCAAGCUCACCAAGGCUUUUAAGAAUACGAGUGAUUCUUAAAUAGUUGUGCUGGGACCUGGAAGAGAGGAUUGAAUAAAAUGAGUGGGGGAAAUCAGGUGUAGGAAGGCAGGAGAAUGAAAACUAUUGGGAAAAUAUUUUUUAUGGAAAUGUAAGCCAUGGAAAUAUGCUGUGUAAUGACUUCCUAAUGCCAUAUUUGAUACCAUUAAGAAUAAACCAGAGGGUAUUAAAUCCUUAGGCCACAAUGUAAUGUCAAUCUAUGUGAAAGUCAAAUGUAUAAAAUAAACUUCCCUUGUCUGUUGAGUUCUUCAUAUUAGAAAAAUAUUUAGGUUUAAAUUUAUUACCACUGUCAAAUUGUUGCUUAUUACUGAAAAUACACUGAAGAUGAAUGAUCUAACAGAGCAUUUAUUUGCACCAACAUCAAUGUACUGUACUCAUCAGAGGUAACCAUUGCUAAACAUAAACACAUUAGCUAACAGCUGACUGGUACAAUUUAUAGUGCCAGCUGAUAAGCAAAAUCCACCACGUAAGCCAACUCAUAAGGAUGGCGGCAAAAACUACUCUACUUUGCUAAAACAGUUCUGACAAAGGACACAAAACUGACUUAUUUAGCAGAGCUUAGUUUAACAGUUAAGAGCAUGGGCUUUGGAGUCAGACCUGAGUUCACACCCUGGCUCUGUAACUUAGCAGCUAAGUGAAACUAUGUUUCUCUAUGUCUCAAUAUCCUCAUCUGUAAAAUGGGGAAAAGUGCCCACAACUUACAGGACUGUUGUAAGAAUCAAAUGAGAUGAUACACAUGCUGGGUAUAUAGAACUCGAUAAGUACUAGAUACUAUUUAAAACUAUUAGUAUUAUCAUUUAAAGAUACGAGAUUAGGGACCACCAUAUUUGUACCUAUCCAACUUAACCUAAUUUUCUUCAAUCUCUGGUCAUUCUUUCCUCCUCUUUCCCUAUCUGAUAAUUUUAAAUCUUAUUUCUAAUGGUCUUGAUUCCAAGGGUACAUUUUCCCCCAGAUUACACUAACAUCUUUCCUCUCUAUCACAAAACUAAUGCCAUUACUGGAUGAAUGUUUUCCAAAUCUAUUUUGUCACAAUUCAUAAUGUAACUCCCCAAACUCACUCAGCUCAAUCUUUGCUUUAUUACACAUGCCUGGUCAAAUUCCAAAAGAAUCAUCAGCCACAUGUAUUAAUCAUAGGUGUUGUCAACAGCCCAGGUAUUUAUUUACCCAAUAUUGCCACAUAACAAUAACCAUCACUUAUUUCUAACUUCCUAAAGCCUGUUUUAUAUCUCAGACAUGGAACUUUCUGCAAACAUUAUAUAUACCUGUCCUAGCUUCCAAAAAUGCUUGAAGAUUUUACUUUGAAAUAAUUAGCAAAUUACUUGGGAAGCAGGGAGAAAGAUGUUGAUGAAUUAAGGGAUGGCAGAGUAUGGUUCCAUGGUCUUAUGUUUCAAUGAGAAAGUUUCUUUGGACAAAACAAAAACCUUAAUGAUUCAUACUAACCAAACACUGGAAAAGCUAAGCCCAACAGUUCAUCAUCUUCAUCUUUCUGGAUGUUUACUAAAAAAUUAUUGUCUUAACAUUCAACUGUGAAGCCCAGAGGGUAAAAUGCAGCACAGAUGUCUCAGUUUUACACAUCUGUAUUUUUGAAUAGGAAGUAACACUCUUGAGACAAUACAAAUUUGGGUACAGUUAAGACAAUGUGUCACUAACAGCAGGAACAACUUAGUUGUUACAUUCCUAUGGAGUUUGCAUACUCUAAAUACUUACUGACAAAACCCUUGGGCAAUUCUGCCUCAUAUAUCUAUGAGAAAAAGAUGUAUAAAAAGGUGGAAGAAUUCUUUUUUUAAAAAAGAGGAGCUCUAUGACUAAACAAAAUUUACUAUAUUUGCAACCAGCUCAAUUUUAUAUAGCCAAUCUUAGAUGAAUGCUGAAGUUAAAAUUUCUGUACACAUUUACUAUAUCUAUAUAUGCUCCAAUUAAAAAUAUUUACACAACAGUAUAAAAGGAAAAAGACUUGGGUUAAAAAAUGAUGAUGAGUAUCCCAGAACAAAACUACAAAAUAAAGCAAUUGGGUGUUUCAGUAUGAUUUGUAAUAAAUGUCAUAGUGAAAGACUAAAUGGUAUAGAAGAGAGUGGCAAAAAUCCUUAUAAUGUAUAAACCAUCUUAGGGUUACACUAUAGGAAAAAGAAAGAAGCUGAGGUUCCAGACAGAGGUUAAGGGUAGCAAAUAGUGUUGAAAUUGCAAGAAGUCUAGGUAGGUAAAGAGAGAAGACAUACAAGGUGAGAACCAGGAAACAAAAAAUAAAAGUUAAAAGGCUCCCCAGGGUCUAAAUAUGGCUCAGUAAUCCAAGUUGAUUACAAACAAAAUUGAAAACACCUCUUAGUGGUUGGUCCAUAUAUUUGUACUCUCAUGUCUGAAAAUAUUUUGCCUCUUUUAGUCAAGGUCGCUUGUUCACUCAAUGUUAUUUUAUUUUACUUUGAUUCAAUAUUUUUCCUCUGCUUAGCUACUAUAAAUAUAUUGAGUUCCCUGCCUACUGUAAACUACUCAAGAUGCCAUAUACAUUAAAAUACAAAUAAGUUAUGACAUUUAAGAAUAAGUCAGAAAAGGACCCAAUUGAAGAAGAAAAUAGAACAGACGUUUUCAUAGAAUCCUCUAUCAUUUGUUCAAAUCUAGUCAGUAAAGAUUUUUUGCAACUAAACUAGAGAAGAAACAGAGUGUUUUCUGGCAGAUUCUAAGGCAGUUAAUUCACAGCUGGAAAAGCUCUAUGCUGACAAUAGGUGGCAGAAAGAAAGGAUGGGGCAGAGGAGUGAGAAGUGACUUAGUUCAGGCUCCCUUCCCCUGCCUCAACCCUGGAAAUCAUUUAAUUAAAGCCUUAAAAAGAGACUCUGUUUCCACCUAUAAAUCAGAGGAUAUGAUAACAAAACUCCAAGGAGGAUUUAAGCUGAAGACCAUAUUUUGUUAAUCAUUUAUUCAUUCAAUAAAAAUUUAUUAAGCAAGAUUGCUAUUCCAACCAAAAAUAACAAGUUUGAGGUAUCUAAAAUGAUAGUCGUUAAGUACAUGAAAGAUGAGGUACUAUCAAAUCCUUUCAAAAGAUUUACUGUUACUAUUGCUGUCUUUCAUGUCAAUAGGCUGCUGGCAUGUAGCUCUUUCACAGUGUAAUAUAAGUGUUUAGAAACUCUGUCCAGAGCUAGCUACCUGUAUUGCUUAGGUAGAGGUAUAUAUACCUAUGCUUUAAGUGCCCUACAUAAGUCAAAUUUGAGUUAUGAGUUAAUGGAUCUUCUAGUCAGGAAUAUAAAGCUUUAUGCCCAUAUCUUUAGCGUUUUAGUACAAACUACCAUUUUAAUAUCAUUGAUUAUAAGUAAUAAAGUAAAAAGAAGGCUUUUUACUUCUUAUAACAUUAAUAUUUAUACCCAUCUGAAUUGAACAAUGAGAACACAUGGACACAGGAAGGGGAACAUCACACACCGGGGUCUGUUGUGGGGUGGGGGGAGGGGGGAGGGAUAGCAUUAGGAGAUAUACCUAAUGCUAAAUGACGAGUAAAUAGGUGCAGCACACCAACAUGGCACGUGUAUACAUAUGUAACUAACCUGCACGUUGUGCACAUGUACCCUAAAACUUAAAGUAUAAUAAUAAUAAAAUUAAAAAUAUAUAUAUUUAUACCCAUCUUACCAAAGCAAGGUGAAAGUUCUAUAAAAACACAUAAAAAAAUAGUUAACUGAUGCACAAAACGUAGACUGCUGUGGCCAAAGGAAAAUUGCUUAGGUUAGUUUUAAUUUUUUUGCUCUUAGUACUUGCUCAGUUUAGCUAAUUAUAAUAUGCUUAAAAGUACUUUAAAGCUGGUGGCUGUAUAGGCCAGCAUUCAUAAAUAAUUCAACUAUGAUUAGUUUAAAUGUAACUAUAAUUAGUUAAAAUUUAACUAUAAUUAAAAAGAAAAUAGACAGUGAAUAUGAAGAAAAUAUCAAGAAAAAUAAACUUUGGUUAUGAGUAUUAACAAAAGUUAUAAACAUCCAACCAAAUGAAUACAGCAAAACAAUUCCAAAUAAACUAUGUUAAAAUGUUCUUCAUAAGUUUUGGGACUUAUUACCCAAAAAUGAGUUUUUGUUUUUUACCUUAAUAGUGAAGACAAGUGUAAUUUUCUCUCUCUUUUAGUAAAAACUAUGGGCCCAUCUCAUUCUUAUAAAAUGAUUUUUAUACAUCAUAGGCUUAAUGCAUGAAUUUAAUCUUAAGAAGGCAUUAUGCUUAGAAACAGAUUGUGCCCCAAGAAGCUUACAGCCUACAAGAAGGAAUACACAGAAUUGUACACAAGCAAUAACAAUAAACUCAAAGAAAUGUGGCAUAAGGAGGAGGGAGAGAAGCAACAUUUGGCUGUGGGCAAUAGGAAGGUUUCAGGGAGAAACAGGUCUGAAGCUGAAUAGCUGUGUUUCUACCUAGAAUUUUGUUCCUUUUUGUUGUUGUUUUGUUUUGUUUUAGAAUGUGGUACAGGAAUGUAAUGCAUUUCAGACUAGCUUUUUAAUCCAAAUUCCUGGGCCCAUCUCAUCUGCUAGUUGUUCCUGCGUUUCAUAGAGAACUCUGACCAAGGGAAAAUAACUGUGCUGGCCCCUGAUUUAUCACAGGGGCUUUACUUACUCAUUCAGAUGCUGAAAUCUUUCCUGCCAGUUAACAGCCCGAGCAACAUUUCCAGUUUUAUCAGUCAGUUUUAUUCCAAAAAAUUCUAGCAUCAUUUUAUAAGCCAGGAGGAAUCUUCUAAUUGCUUCUUUUGUUUUUUUGAAUUCCUAAUAUAAAAAAUGAAAAAAGUCACCUGAAAUGAUUCAGUAGCUACAAGGACAGUGAAAUAGCAAUAUUAUUUGGCCACCCUGUAUAAAAUGAAAUGAGCUUGCAUUACCUCAAUUUCAUAUGUAGUUAGUUCUUUGGCAUAGAAGUUCAAGCCUUGUUCUCUCAGGGGGAAAAGCCUAUUUAUUUUAAAAAAAUAAAAUUUUUCUAUUAACGUUGUCUGGAAAACAUACAUGAUUAAAUAGGACAUGGUUCAAGAUAGAUAAUAUGUAACUGACCAUUGAAUGUAAGUGUGGUUGUGCUCCAGUUUUUCAUAAUCUCCUUUCCAUUUACUUAGAACUUCUUCAAUGUAAACACCUAAAUAGUAAAUAUUUAAAAAUGAACCAGACAUUUCAAACAUUGUGAAGGCAUUUUAAGAUUCGAAUCACUUGAGUUUUAUAUGAAAACUUGUUUAAAUUUAAUAAUAGCACACAAGAAUAGUGCUUUUAAAAAGAUGAAUACCCUAUGCCCAUAUAUUCGGUUAUGUGAUAAAUCUAAUUAAAAAAAAUUAAUAGCACCUCAAAUUGCACAAGGCUUUGUUGGACAAUGUACUCUAAAGCAGAGCUUGGCAAACUGUGGCCUGCCAGCUGUUUUUUAAAUAAAGUUUUAUUGGAAUAUAGCUAUGCACAUUCAUUUAUGUACUGUCUAUGGCAGUUUUUGUACUACAGUAGCAGAGCUGUGUAGUUGCAAUACAGACCCACUGUCCCCCAAAGCCCAAAAUAUUUACUAUUUGCCCCUGUAUAGAAAGUUUGCCAAUCCCAGUCCUAGGAGUUAUAUAGUUCUUUAAAUGCUAAAUUGGAUCAAAAUGAAUUGCAUCCUAGGGAAAAAGAAAGAAAGGGGAGUAGAAAUAGAAGAAAAGAAAUGAGAAGGAGAAAACAAAGGAGAAGGAAAACGAGAAAAGAAAAAUGUAGGAAAAAGUUGUAAGUGCUUACUACAUGCUGUGCCCAUAUUACACAGAGCGCACAUUUUCCAGCUUAGUCUUCACAGAAUGCUGCCAGUGUUAUGAUCCUCAUUUUAACAAUGAAGAAACUGGGAGAUUUGUUCAAAGUUACACACUAGUAAAAAAGUAAAUCUUGAGUGCAACAUAGGUCUUUCUGGUUCCAAGAAGUAAGCCCUUUUCACCCUGUCCACUUUUCCUCUACAAGAACUUACAAAAACAAAAUCCUCCUGUUCCUAAGUCUGUCAAGGUCCUUACAAUUGACUAGCCAUUUAGUCAAUGUUGUAGAAAAUAAAAUAGCAAUAUAAUAUUUCUCCGAACAUAACUCAUCUCAUUCUUGUUUCCUCCAGAGAUCACCAGUUUGUAGUAGAGGCCCACUCUCGGAAGGUUUGGUAAAAAGUUGUUUUGAAUCAUAAUGUUGGCUUUAUUGGCAUGUUGAAACCAUUUACCUCUGUAAUUUUCCAUUUGUUUUCCUUUCCAACUACCACUCCUCCUGCCUGAUAAAUAAAUACCAUUGCAAGAUUAUGCUUACUGGCAAGUAGUGUGUGUGUGCGUGUGUGCGUGUGUGUGUAUACUAGGGAGGAAAGUGAGUUGAUAUAAUUUGUAUAAUAAACUAGGAUAAACAUUUUAUCUGACCUUAGCUAAAACUUCUGACCCCCACCAAUCAUAAGAUUUCAAAAUAAACUUUGUAGUAAAGAUUACCAAAAAUUCAAUAUAUUGCUUGAAAUUACUUUUUAAAUUAAUAUUUACAAAAUAAAUUCCCUAGUAGAAAAAAAUAGAGUUAAAUACUAUCAUAGCUUUAUGUUUAAUAUUUUUAAUAUGUGAAGGCAUUCCUUUAGGAAAAUUGUAUGAAAUUCAAAUCAGACUCAAAUUAACAAUCUAUCAUUGCAUUUCUUCAAAAUAUUUUUCUACCCCAAGUCCUAACAAAAUGAAUAAUUUGGCCAAUAUUUUUCCAUUAGUAAAUAAAGCAGCACAUUUCUAUCAUUAGUAAAUAUAACUGUGCAAUUUUAUCCAGAGGUUUCAUUCCACAUCACAGCAGACUUUCAGGACACCAGAAAGUUAAAGACAAGUAGAUCUGGCCACGUCAACGAUGUUCUCAAAUAUUAACUCCCAACUGGUAGGUCUGUUGGUACACAGUACUGGGACUCCCUCCUCCCAAACUCAAUCCAGGCUUUAGACCUCUUGCCUCGAGUUAGUUCACCAAAGAAUGCAAGGUCCUGCCACUUGAAAGCCUUGCAGUCUAUCUCCUUCCUUCUGUGACUCACACUGCUGUGGAACUGGCUCAGUUUCCACUGAGAGCAAAUAGCAGAAGCCAGGGCAGUCUGACCACCUCACACAGAAAAGGGCUCUUGGGAGAGAAGCCAGCUUUCCUAGGGUGACCUGGAUAAAAUUAGGAUGACCACCAUGAACCACAGCAUGAUGCCUCAAUGAAAUAUGCAAUGUUGUGGUCAUAUUACCAUAGCAGCUGCAUCUUCUCACUAUGGGUUUGGAAAAUAUCCUAGGAGGGCAAUUGCAGAGUUGGGAAGGAGACAAGUGUAUUUGGCAGAGUUGGAUGGAGAUCUACUGUAUCUGCAGUUCCCUUCCCAGAAUAUUGGAACUCCAAACAGGGAUUGCUGUAGAUUGCUGAUACUGAAUCUGAAAACUGACAGGAAAGAUAAUUCUAAAUACAAACAGCACUUUUCAAUCACAUGCUAAAUAGUUUUCAGCUAUGGCACAAUGGAAAGAACAGUGGACUCUAGAACCUGCAAUCGAGUGACCUAAGCUUUAAGUCCUAGUGACCUAAUCUUUGAGAUGAGAAAGCUGAAUUUGAUCUUCUCUACUGUUCCUUAAUAACCUAAAAUUCUAUGGUUCUAUACAUCUCCUCUCUCUUCCUGUCACAAAAAUUGUCCCUACUAUCUUUCAGAUAAUAGCAAUGUAAAUAAGAAAGAUACCAUUAAUCCAUAGCUCUUCCUCCAGAAUUUACCAAGGGGACACAUUAGACUGCAUAGCAAAGUAAAUCCAAUCAAUGAAACAAACCACAAAAUAAAGAAUAACCAAGUGUAUGUGAUUAUUUAAAGUGCAAUUUAUCAAGUAGUACGUUACUCACCAUCUGGCUUGAAUGGAAUUUUAUUCUUAUAAAAACGAAGAUUGCUCAAGUCAUUUUGAUAUCGGAUAUCUUUGAAGUUCUGCUAAAGGAAAAAAUAAAUCAAUCUCCAGCACAUAGAAAUACAGUAAAGAUACAAGGACCCUUCAUGCAUGUUUUCUCAGUGGCACCAUAAAAAUUUAAAAACAGAAGGAAAAUAGUUUACAGUUUAAAACAUAGCAUUCUAUACUCUUACUGGGUACUGGUGUCGGUACUUGUACAAAUCCCUGGCAGCAUAAAAACUUCUCUUUGGUUUGGCAGUUGCUUCAGUGGAAUCACCACCCUGAAAUAAAAGGUGAAACUCCGUUUACAUGUUGACGCAAGAUAAUUUCACAAAGAAAUUUCCAGAACAAACUUAAGGAAGAUCCAUAAAGAAAGCCUGAAAAUUGUCAAUCUGUCCAGAUUAAUGAAAAUAUUAUAAAUAUUCCUUUAAUAACGCUUACUAGCAAUAUUUCUUAGCAUCCUAUUUUUCUUAUUUGAACCAAUAACAUUUGUCCUAAGAUAUAUUACUGAAUAAAACACUUUAUUAUUAACCAAAAACCUAAGAGGCCAAUGUUAUGGAUCAAUAUCCAUCAAAAAUGGAACUCAAAAAGGAAUUCAAGACAUUUAUUUACCAGAUGAUUAUGCAAGUGAUUCUAUGAUAAAACUUAUUUUAGAAUAUUUUACAUAAUACUAAGAAUGUGUUAAGUUACUAAAUCAAUUCUACAAAGAAAAUUGUCAUUAAAUUUGCAACAUUUAGCUGUACUUGGAAGUCAAGUAAUAUUUAUGAAAAGAAAGGAUUUUAAAACAAACUAGCUUUCUAAACUCCAUCCUUUAUAAUACCAUGACAAGUACACAAAGGCAUGAAUAAUCAUCUGUUCACUGAAUGAUAAUACAAUGUGAUAUAAACAUUUAAAAUAUAUACACACAAAGCAAUAAAAUGCUCUUAAAUGGAAUGGUGUCCAAUUGAAACAACUUAUACAUGGUAGUUUACUCAUACUGUUCAAACUCUUAAGUAAAAUUCCUAUCACCAUGAACUGAUUUUUAAAGUAUAAGAUGUGGGUUAAAAUAAUCGAUUUGCAUUCCCUAUAUGUACUAUUAUAAUGUAUGAGAAAGUGCUGAUGACAAUCAUGAAAAAGAAAAACUUUAGACCUUUAAGAGUCAUUAAAAGCUUUGCCCCAAAUUCUUUUCUCCUCAACCCCUGUCCUCCAUCUGUGUUGACAGAUUGGCAUCCUCUAAGUAAUUUUCACACAUUUUUGAAGUGGUGUGAUUCUCACUAUUACUACAAGUACCGAGUUACUUCAACAUCAAAUCUUCUGAUGCUUAACAUUAGUUACGCUGUCAUGUUACAUAAGCAAGGAAAAGCUUGAAUUCUGGUCCUUGCCACACGUUUCAAAAUAGCUCUGCCUAGCAAGUUUCUGAAUCUAUUUAGCCUGAGAUACAACCAUAUGAAUCAUCAUCCUACAUUUGUAUAGAAGGCACUCUCCAUUUACAAAGCACUUACAUAUAUAGCGAAUAGACAACAAACAGGGUUGACAGUCAAAAGGCAUUAUUUCAUUUGAUUCUUAAAACACACCUGAUUGACAGUUAAUAAGUGUUUCCAUCUUAGAAACAAGAUAUCAGGGGCUUAGAGAAGUUGCACACCACCCA
rnacentral:lncRNA from 1 species